UUGAAUUAAACCCUGGUUGGGUUGUUGCUGGCCUCUAGGGGCAUGUGCACGCCUGCCAUCGUUUUCAACCACCUGUGCACCUUUUGUAGACUUGGAUACCUUUCGAGGGUCAACCUCGGUUAGGGGAUUGUCGUGCUGUCUCGCUACAACUAGUAGUAAAGUGGUCGACUUUCCUUACACUUCCGGUCUACGUCUUUAUAUACCCCGUAUAGAAUGUAUUAGAAUGUUUUGUUAUUGGCCUUAGUGCCUUUAAAUCAAAUA
rnacentral:misc_RNA from 1 species